rnacentral:rRNA from 1 species
AGAGUUGAUCCUGGCUAGGACGAACGCUGGCGGCGUGCCUAACACAUGCAAGUCGAGCGAGGAGAUCCUCGGGAUGAUCCUAGCGGCGGACGGGUGAGUAACACGUGGGCAACCUGCCUCAUAGAGAGGAAUAGCCUUCCGAAAGGGAGAUUAAUACCUCAUAACAUUGCAGUUUCGCAUGAAACAGCAAUUAAAGGAGCAAUCCGCUAUGAGAUGGGCCCCGCGGCGCAUUAGCUAGUUGGUGAGGUAACGGCUCACCAAGGCGACGAUGCGUAGCCGACCUGAGAGGGUGAUCGGCCACAUUGGGACUGAGACACGGCCCAGACUCCUACGGGAGGCAGCAGUGGGGAAUAUUGCACAAUGGGGGAAACCCUGAUGCAAGCAACGCCGCGUGAGUGAUGACGGCCUUCGGGUUGUAAAGCUCUGUCUUCAGGGACGAUAAUGACGGUACCUGAGGAGGAAGCCACGGCUAACUACGUGCCAGCCGCUGC